AUUGAACGCUGGCGGCAGGCUUAACACAUGCAAGUCGAGCGGAGAUGAGGUGCUCGCACCUUAUCUUAGCGGCGGACGGGUGAGUAAUGCUUAGGAAUCUGCCUAUUAGUGGGGGACAACAUUCCGAAAGGAAUGCUAAUACCGCAUACGCCCUACGGGGGAAAGCAGGGGAUCUUCGGACCUUGCGCUAAUAGAUGAGCCUAAGUCGGAUUAGCUAGUUGGUGGGGUAAAGGCCUACCAAGGCGACGAUCUGUAGCGGGUCUGAGAGGAUGAUCCGCCCCACUGGGACUGAGACACGGCCCAGACUCCUACGGGAGGCAGCAGUGGGGAAUAUUGGACAAUGGGCGGAAGCCUGAUCCAGCCAUGCCGCGUGUGUGAAGAAGGCCUUUUGGUUGUAAAGCACUUUAAGCGAGGAGGAGGCUACCUGGAUUAAUACUCUAGGAUAGUGGACGUUACUCGCAGAAUAAGCACCGGCUAACUCUGUGCCAGCAGCCGCAGUAACAC
rnacentral:rRNA from 1 species